UACAGAGGGUGCAAGCGUUAAUCGGAAUUACUGGGCGUAAAGCGCGCGUAGGUGGUUUGUUAAGUUUAAUGUGAAAUCCCCGGGCUCAACCUGGGAACUGCAUCCAAAACUGGCAAGCUAGAGUAGGGCAGAGGGUGGUGGAAUUUCCUGUGUAGCGGUGAAAUGCGUAGAUAUAGGAAGGAACACCAGUGGCGAAGGCGACAACCUGGGCUCAUACUGACACUGAGGUGCGAAAGCGUGGGGAGCAAACAGG
rnacentral:rRNA from 1 species